CCUACGGGUGGCAGCAGUGAGGAAUAUUGGUCAAUGGACGCAAGUCUGAACCAGCCAUGCCGCGUGCAGGAAGACGGCACAAUGUGUUGUAAACUGCUUUUGUACGAGGGUAAACGCAGAUACGCGUAUCUGUCUGAAAGUAUCGUACGAAUAAGGAUCGGCUAACUCCGUGCCAGCAGCCGCGGUAAUACGGAGGAUUCAAGCGUUAUCCGGAUUUAUUGGGUUUAAAGGGUGCGUAGGCGGUCGGAUAAGUUAGAGGUGAAAUCCCGAGGCUCAACUUCGGAAUUGCCUCUGAUACUGGGCGGCGAGAGAGUAGUUGAGGUAGGCGGAAUGGAUGGGGGAGCGGUGAAAUG
rnacentral:rRNA from 1 species